rnacentral:lncRNA from 1 species
UCAGUCAAAAGUAUAAAAAGAAGAGUGAUGCCAGAAGUUUGGAUGAGAUCUCUGAAUAUCCUAAGCCAAGUGCAGGCCAUAGGAGAAAGCAGUGAAAAAGAAACACUGUGACAAGCAAGGAAGAAACUUCAGACCAAGUUGACAGGCAGCCCUUCAGUUUACUGACUGCCGCUUCUUACCUGCCAACGCCAAGCACAAAGCUGCCUGCAGAGCCAGCCUCUAUCUGUGGUCCUUGUGCCAAUUAUCACUGCCCCACUCAUGCCGCAGGAUAUAAAGCAGAGUGACAGGGUCACAGGACUGCCAGAGGAAUACAGGCUGCAGUGCAGUGGUGCCAUCUGGGCUCACUGCAACCUCUGCCUCCCAGGUUCAAGUGAUCCUCAUGCCUCAGCCUCCUGAGUAACUGGGAUUACAGGCUAUGCUCCGUAAAGAGAGUGCCUCCUCUAGAAUCACAAGACCUAAGCAUGAAUCUUCCUUUGAAGGAUAAAAUGGAAGGAAAAAAACUGGAUGAGGAAAAGAAGAGUGGGGAAUAGAAAGAGAGAGAGAGAGAAAGAUGGAUAAAUUUUUAAAGUUACUAUAAUAAAAAUCUUCUACAACGAAACUAUAAUUGUUGAUCAGCAAAUGUGAACUAAUCCUCCUCCUCCUUACCUUCUCUCUCUGAAUUGCCUUCAUUUUUUGGAGUUCAG